CUAUCUGUCCUCUCGGCCCUCUCCUCAGCCUUGACGGCUCUUCCCUCAGCCCGCUCCUCUGCCCUGACGGCCCGUUCCUCCUCCCUCACCGCCCUCUCCUCUGACCUGACGGCCCGUUCCUCCUCCCUGACCGCCCUCUCCUCUGCCCUGACGGCCCGUUCCUCCUUCCUGACCGCCCGCUCCUCAGCCCUCACGGCUCGCAUCUCCGCCAGCUCGGCCUGCUUUUUCUCGCGCAGAAAUCGAUCUCGAUCGAGGCGCACCGCCUUGGCCUGAAUCGAAGCUGAAUAGAAGAGAGAGAUGCACAAGCCGGCCCCUCCCAGAACACCAAUCCCGGACCCAAAGGAAAUUCUCG
rnacentral:lncRNA from 1 species